UCCUACGGGAGGCAGCAGUGAGGAAUUUUUCGCAAUGGGGGAAACCCUGAUUCAGCAACACCGCGUGAGUGAAGAAGGCCCUUGGGUGGUAAAGCUAUGUCAACCUGGAAGAAGUAAAGCUUUUUUAAUAGGGAAGAGAAUGGACGGUACCCCCGGAAGAAGCACCGGCUAACUCCGUGCCAGCAGCCGCGGUAAUACGUAGGGGGCAAGCGUUAUUCGGAAUUAUUGGGCGUAAAGGGCGCGUAGGCGGUUUGGUAAGUCAGAUGUGAAAGCCCGGGGCUCAACCCUGGAAGUGCAUUUGAAACAGCCAGACUUGAGUACGGGAGAGGAAAGUGGAAUUCCUGGUGUAGAGGUGAAAUUCGUAGAUAUCAGGAGGAACACCGAUGGCGAAGGCAGCUUUCUGGACCGAUCCUGACGCUCAGGCGCGAAAGCGUGGGUAGCGAACAGGAUUAGAUACCCCGGUAGUCCACGCAGUAAACGAUGUACACUAGGUGUAGGGGGAUUAAAACC
rnacentral:rRNA from 1 species